GCCCCAUAUCAUUUGUUCUCCCUGUCUUCUCCAGGAAUGAGGACCCUCAUUUUUAGUGACGGGGCACAUGGAUGUGUGAUGAGAUAUGUGGAUCUCUCCAAGGACGCCGCAUCCUAGCAUCACCCAGGGGGCUUGGCUGCGACUCCAGCGGGCUCACCGAUUCGGAUGCUCAGGGAAGCCGUCUUCGACACAGCCGGAAGAUGCUCAUGCAGGCGGGGAGGUGGGGAGAAAGGGGGAUGUUUAGGACUUUUGGAAAUCAGGAACGAAGCGGGGACUGCAAGAAGGAAAAGGGUUUGGAGAGACAGCGCGCCGGCAGGGGCCACAGAGACAACACAGUGAAGGCGGAAAACGACCGCGUCUGAUUACCAGCCUGUGAAGCAGCCCUCUGAGCUUCUCCUAGAAGAUGCCUGGAGGUGCCGGGGUAGGAGCCGAGAGGGCUGGAGAGGAAAUAUAGGUUCACUGAAUGCAGGGGCGUGAUUCCUCAGGAAUGACAGGGAGGGAAUAAAAACCCAUGCUUAUCUCUCGGGGCGCCUGGGUGGCUCAGUGGGUUAAGCCGCUGCCUUCGGCUCAGGUCAUGAUCUCAGGGUCCUGGGAUCGAGUCCCGCAUCGGGCUCUCUGCUCAGCAGGGAGCCUGCUUCCCCCCCCCCUCUCUGCCUGCCUCUCCAUCUACUUGUGAUUUC